ensembl:miRNA
UAAGGAGAAGUAAGUUCCGGUCGAGAUCAUAAGGGCUGAACUCUCCUCCUUAUUAUU